UUUGGGCCUUAUCGAAGCUACAUAUUUGUUACAUAAAAUAUGAUAGUCAAAUCAAGGCCAAUAUUAACUGUUCCCGACACGGUCGCGCUUUAGAUAACUUAUAUCUUCAACGUAUCACCGAAGGGGCCUACAAUU